GAGAGGCCGAGAGCAGUAAGGACUGCUAAUUCAUACCCCCAUGGUUAA
rnacentral:tRNA from 1 species